UGAGAUGACUGCCCAAUGCACCACCUGUGCCCCCUACUGUGCAAACAUUACACGCACGCACCAUGUGUACACGCACGCACCAUGUGUAUACGCGCAUUGUUAACGUUGAGCUCACGCAUCCAAGGGGCCAAUGUUCAAGAGAGGGAGCAAUGGAAAAGGAAUCUAAAUAAACUCAAACCCCCGAUCUUUACGUCACAACUCCGCAAUAUCUCAUCGGUGUGCGGCGCCUGAGGGAGGUGUCCUCGCUAGUGACGUCAUGUCACCAAGGUAUUCAUCCCCCAACGCCCCCUCCACCGCGCGUUUGAGCGUAACGUCACGUCUGGUUGGUCACGGCCGAUUUCUGUUCCAGUAAAAAUCCUUAUUUGGGCAAGGCUACGCCUAGUCACUGGCCGUUCAUUAACAUAAUUUAUUCAUAAAUACCGUCGCGAGUUCAUUGCGACGGGUUCAGCAUCCACGCCCCAUCAUUGUACAUGGGCACGUGUCAUUGUACAAUGAUGGGGCGUACAUGGGCACGUGUCAUUAACAUAAUUUAUUCAGUUCGCCGCUCGUUGGGGGAGGGGAUUGUGUGAACCCCGCAAGUGACGUCAUGUCACCGUCUGCUGCCGCGUGACGUCACGAGAUACCAGGAAGCUGCACCGAGCGCGCUCUCUCAGAUCCGAGGUCACAGCUCAGUCCAAGGUUGCGUUGGAUUGGUGGUGUGUCGACAAAUUGGUCUGAUGGAGCAAAGGCACUCAGCGCAGCUCGGUACAAAAAAGAAACAAUG